UCUACGGGGGGCAGCAGUGAGGAAUAUUGGUCAAUGGGCGCGAGCCUGAACCAGCCAAGUCGCGUGAGGGAUGAAGGUUCUAUGGAUCGUAAACCUCUUUUAUAAGGGAGUAAAGUGUGGGACGUGUCCUAUUUUGUAUGUACCUUAUGAAUAAGGGUCGGCUAACCCCGUGCCAGCAGCCGCGGUAAUACGGAGGAUCCGAGCGUUACCCGGAUUUAUGGGGUUUAAAGGGUGCGUAGGCGGCCUUGUAAGUCAGCGGUGAAAGUCUGUGGCUCAACCAUGGAAUGGCGUUUGAAACUGGGGGGCUUGAGUAUGUUAGAGGCAGGCGGAAUGCGUGGUGUAGCGGUGAAAUGCUUAGAUAUCACGCAGAACCCCGAUUGCGAAGGCAGCCUGCCAGGCCAUGACUGACGCUGAUGCUCGAAAGUGUGGGUAUCAAACAGGAUUAGAUACCCGUGUAGUC
rnacentral:rRNA from 1 species